GACGGAGGAUGCAAGCGUUAUCCGGAAUGAUUGGGCGUAAAGCGUUCGCAGGUGGCUGUUCAAGUCUGCUGUCAAAGACCGGGGCUUAACCCUAGAAAGGCAGUGGAAACUGGACGGCUGGAGUGCAGUAUGGGUAGAGGGAAUUCCCAGUGUAGCGGUGAAAUGCGUAGAGAUUGGGAAGAACACCGGUGGCGAAAGCGCUCUGCUGGACUGCAACUGACACUGAGGGACGAAAGCUAGGGGAGCAAACGGG
rnacentral:rRNA from 1 species